UACGUAGGGGCGAGCGUUGUCCGGAAUUAUUGGGCGUAAAGAGCGCGCAGGUGGUUGAUUAAGUCUGAUGUGAAAGCCCACGGCUUAACCGUGGAGGGUCAUUGGAAACUGGUCGACUUGAGUGCAGAAGAGGGAAGUAGAAUUCCAUGUGUAGCGGUGAAAUGCGUAGAGAUAUGGAGGAACACCAGUGGCGAAGGCGGCUUCCUGGUCUGUAACUGACACUGAGGCGCGAAAGCGUGGGGAGCAAACAGGAUUAGAUACACCGGUA
rnacentral:rRNA from 1 species